UCCUGACUGACCGAUAGUGAACCAGUACCGUGAGGGAAAGGCGAAAAGAACCCCGGCGAGGGGAGUGAAAAAGAACCUGAAACCGUGUACGUACAAGCAGUGGGAGCACGCUUAGGCGUGUGACUGCGUACCUUUUGUAUAAUGGGUCAGCGACUUAUAUUCUGUAGCAAGGUUAACCGAAUAGGGGAGCCGAAGGGAAACCGAGUCUUAACUGGGCGUUAAGUUGCAGGGUAUAGACCCGAAACCCGGUGAUCUAGCCAUGGGCAGGUUGAAGGUUGGGUAACACUAACUGGAGGACCGAACCGACUAAUGUUGAAAAAUUAGCGGAUGACUUGUGGCUGGGGGUGAAAGGCCAAUCAAACCGGGAGAUAGCUGGUUCUCCCCGAAAGCUAUUUAGGUAGCGCCUCGUGAAUUCAUCUCCGGGGGUAGAGCACUGUUUCGGCAAGGGGGUCAUCCCGACUUACCAACCCGAUGCAAACUGCGAAUACCGGAGAAUGUUAUCACGGGAGACACACGGCGGGUGCUAACGUCCGUCGUGAAGAGGGAAACAACCCAGACCGCCAGCUAAGGUCCCAAAGUCAUGGUUAAGUGGGAAACGAUGUGGGAAGGCCCAGACAGCCAGGAUGUUGGCUUAGAAGCAGCCAUCAUUUAAAGAAAGCGUAAUAGCUCACUGGUCGAGUCGGCCUGCGCGGAAGAUGUAACGGGGCUAAACCAUGCACCGAAGCUGCGGCAGCGACGCUUAUGCGUUGUUGGGUAGGGGAGCGUUCUGUAAGCCUGCGAAGGUGUGCUGUGAGGCAUGCUGGAGGUAUCAGAAGUGCGAAUGCUGACAUAAGUAACGAUAAAGCGGGUGAAAAGCCCGCUCGCCGGAAGACCAAGGGUUCCUGUCCAACGUUAAUCGGGGCAGGGUGAGUCGACCCCUAAGGCGAGGCCGAAAGGCGUAGUCGAUGGGAAACAGGUUAAUAUUCCUGUACUUGGUGUUACUGCGAAGGGGGGACGGAGAAGGCUAUGUUGGCCGGGCGACGGUUGUCCCGGUUUAAGCGUGUAGGCUGGUUUUCCAGGCAAAUCCGGAAAAUCAAGGCUGAGGCGUGAUGACGAGGCACUACGGUGCUGAAGCAACAAAUGCCCUGCUUCCAGGAAAAGCCUCUAAGCAUCAGGUAACAUCAAAUCGUACCCCAAACCGACACAGGUGGUCAGGUAGAGAAUACCAAGGCGCUUGAGAGAACUCGGGUGAAGGAACUAGGCAAAAUGGUGCCGUAACUUCGGGAGAAGGCACGCUGAUAUGUAGGUGAAGUCCCUUGCGGAUGGAGCUGAAAUCAGUCGAAGAUACCAGCUGGCUGCAACUGUUUAUUAAAAACACAGCACUGUGCAAACACGAAAGUGGACGUAUACGGUGUGACGCCUGCCCGGUGCCGGAAGGUUAAUUGAUGGGGUCAGCGCAAGCGAAGCUCUUGAUCGAAGCCCCGGUAAACGGCGGCCGUAACUAUAACGGUCCUAAGGUAGCGAAAUUCCUUGUCGGGUAAGUUCCGACCUGCACGAAUGGCGUAAUGAUGGCCAGGCUGUCUCCACCCGAGACUCAGUGAAAUUGAACUCGCUGUGAAGAUGCAGUGUACCCGCGGCAAGACGGAAAGACCCCGUGAACCUUUACUAUAGCUUGACACUGAACAUUGAGCCUUGAUGUGUAGGAUAGGUGGGAGGCUUUGAAGUGUGGACGCCAGUCUGCAUGGAGCCGGCCUUGAAAUACCACCCUUUAAUGUUUGAUGUUCUAACGUGGACCCGUGAUCCGGGUUGCGGACAGUGUCUGGUGGGUAGUUUGACUGGGGCGGUCUCCUCCUAAAGAGUAACGGAGGAGCACGAAGGUUGGCUAAUCCUGGUCGGACAUCAGGAGGUUAGUGCAAUGGCAUAAGCCAGCUUGACUGCGAGCGUGACGGCGCGAGCAGGUGCGAAAGCAGGUCAUAGUGAUCCGGUGGUUCUGAAUGGAAGGGCCAUCGCUCAACGGAUAAAAGGUACUCCGGGGAUAACAGGCUGAUACCGCCCAAGAGUUCAUAUCGACGGCGGUGUUUGGCACCUCGAUGUCGGCUCAUCACAUCCUGGGGCUGAAGUAGGUCCCAAGGGUAUGGCUGUUCGCCAUUUAAAGUGGUACGCGAGCUGGGUUUAGAACGUCGUGAGACAGUUCGGUCCCUAUCUGCCGUGGGCGCUGGAGAA
rnacentral:rRNA from 1 species